UUUUCAGCACCGGACUGUCAAGCUUUUGUUGUUGUUGUUGUUGUGUUCAUUUGUCAUCCAGCCGCUCUCAUAGUCCGCACGUUUUUGCCUGGAGUCUGCUGUUACGUUUAUGAAUCUUGUUUUCACUGUUUUGGUUGUUUGUCUUGCACUUUAGUCAAUAAAAAUCUGCGCUUGCAUCCGCCGCCUUCUACAAUCCCUGAAACGACUAUAUAUUACGGAAUAUUUCCCUGUUUCAAUAAAAAUGCUAAAAGAAAUAACAAGAACAGGACGAAGUUUGGUGAGCACCUGCAGAUGCAGACUAGACAGUGGAUCAGGAGUGGCUGACUGGGCAGCAGUGAGUUUUUCUAAGAGAGGAUUGGCUGGACUGCAGCUGGCCGGGUGCGUGCAUUUCCAGUAAGCUUCCAGAUAGUCGG